GUGGGGAAUCUUGCACAAUGGGCGAAAGCCUGAUGCAGCCAUGCCGCGUGAAUGAUGAAGGCCUUAGGGUUGUAAAAUUCUUUCGUCAGGGAUGAUAAUGACCGUACCUGAAGAAGAAGCCCCGGCUAACUUCGUGCCAGCAGCCGCGGUAAUACGAAGGGGGCUAGCGUUGUUCGGAAUUACUGGGCGUAAAGCGCACGUAGGCGGACUUUUAAGUCAGGUGUGAAAUCCCGGGGCUCAACCUCGGAACUGCAUUUGAAACUGGAAGUCUUGAGAUCAGGAGAGGUUAGCGGAAUACCGAGUGUAGAGGUGAAAUUCGUAGAUAUUCGGUGGAACACCAGUGGCGAAGGCGGCUAACUGGACUGAUACUGACGCUGAGGUGCGAAAGUGUGGGGAGCAAACAGGAUUAGAUACCCGGGUAGUCC
rnacentral:rRNA from 1 species